AAAGUCGGCCAGGCAAUCGCUGGACACGCAAGUGUCGGGAGGAAAGUCCGGGCUCCAUUGGGCGGGAUGCCAGUUAACGGCUGGGUGCUAUACGGUCGCAAGACCCAAGGCAACGGAAAGUGCAACAGAGAACAGACCGCCGAUGGCCUUGAGCUUCGCCGCUGCUUGCUGCGGCAAAGUCUUUUUUGUGGGCGUGGUUCGCUUCGGCGAUUCUGCGUUCCAUGAGGGGAUGAAGCUCAAGGAUCAGGUAAGGGUGAAACGGCGAGGUAAGAGCUCACCGCGUCCACGGUAACGGCGGACGGCACGGUAAACCCCAUCCGGAGCAAAACCAAAUAGGGAAGCUGAGGCGUGGCCCGCGCUGCUUCCGGGUAGGUUGCUUGAGCCUGUCGGUGACGGCAGGCCUAGAGGAAUGAUUGCCGAACCCCGCAAGGGGGGAACAGAACCCGGCUUAUCGGCCGGCUUUCCAC
rnacentral:RNase_P_RNA from 1 species